rnacentral:tRNA from 1 species
GCGAGGAUGGCGGAAUCGGCAGACGCGCACGUUUGAGGGGCGUGUGGGGUUACCCGUGCGGGUUCAAGUCCCGCUCUUCGCACCA